rnacentral:tRNA from 1 species
GGCCCGUUCGUCUAGGGGCUAGGACGCAAGGUUUUCAUCCUUGAAACAGGGGUUCGAUUCCCCUACGGGCUA